AGCAGCAUAGCUCAGUGGAAAGAGCAUGGGCUUGAGAGUCAGAGGUCAUGGGUUCGAAUCCUGGCUCUGCUA
rfam:Ornithorhynchus anatinus chromosome X5, whole genome shotgun sequence.